rnacentral:rRNA from 1 species
UACGAAGGGGGCUAGCGUUGCUCGGAAUUACUGGGCGUAAAGGGAGCGUAGGCGGACAUUUAAGUCAGGGGUGAAAUCCCAGAGCUCAACUCUGGAACUGCCUUUGAUACUGGAUGUCUUGAGUGUGAGAGAGGUAAGUGGAACUCCGAGUGUAGAGGUGAAAUUCGUAGAUAUUCGGAAGAACACCAGUGGCGAAGGCGACUUACUGGCUCAUUACUGACGCUGAGGCUCGAAAGCGUGGGGAGCAAACAGG